rnacentral:lncRNA from 1 species
UCAGGUGCCCUGGGGCAGGGUGCUUGAGUCCCAACCCUGAAACCCUAAAUGUUCUUGAUCCCCUCAUCCCCUGCCCCACUGCCACCAGAUCCCUCAUCCCACUGGACUUCAUUUACAAACCACAAAGUCAGAAAGAAAAGUAUUAAGAAGUCCAAGAGGGGCCAGGCGCGUGGCUCGCACCUGUAAUUACAGCACUUGGGGAGGCCGAGGUGGGCAAAUCACCUGAGAUCAGGAGUUCGAGACCAGCCUAGACAACAUGGUGAAACCCUAUCUCUACUAAAAUACAGAAAUUAGCCAGGCAUGGUGGCACACACCUGUGAUCCCAGCUACUCGGGAGGCUGAGGCAGGAUAAUCGUUUGAACCCAGGAGGCAGAGGUUGCAGUGAGCCGAGAUCGCACCACUGCCCUCCAGCCUGGGUGACAGAGCAACAGUCCGUCUCAGAAAAAAAGCAGUCCAAGAGGGCAAUUGCAGAGAAUUAAACCCCCUGGGCGGGCCCCUCUGAGGGCAAGGGUCUGUGCAUCCACAUUGGCCAUAGGCCGCGGACGCCUGGCCAGAGGUGAGCAGCCGCUUAGAUGCCUGCAACGGCUCCAGAGGUGAAAGAUACUCGAAGGCCCAGGAGAAUGCAAGCUUCGGGGCUGGGCACAGUAGCCCACGCCUGUAAUUCUAACACUUUGGGAGGCCAAGGAUGGACACUCUGCUGGGAGAUGUGGGAAAGGGUCUGCAAGUGGCCCCUCCCCUGUCAUCUGAAUCUUUCAUUUGGUCUUGGCAGCCCCAAAUGUGGCUUCACCCCAAAGAUUGGGCUCUCAGCCUCCGGUCCAGUCCCAGAGGCAAGCUGAGUGGGUCUCCCCACUCCCUCCAAAGACAAGGCAACUGGUGUCCGAGUCAUCCUCUGAGUGUAAACCUAUUUCCUAAGCAAAAGCCCCUCCGUCAUGGAAAACCAUCCACGAGCUAUGGUCCUCCCCAGGCUGCCUGUGGGACCCAGGAAGGCCUGCAUGAAGUCAGGAUUGGAGCUUGUUGGGAGCCUGCUACUUAUCAACUCCUGUGCUCCAGCCUGGGCGACAGAGCGAGACUCUGUCUUGAAAAUAAAUAAGUAAAUAAAUAAAUAACCUGCUCCUGUCUUUAUCUAGACUUUAAAAAAUCUCUUGCUCAUGUUGACUUGUCUGCAGUAAUUUGUAUUUUUAAAAACACUGCACUAAAAUAUUAUUUAUGUUGAGUACUGUUUUUUUUUUUUUUUUUUUUUGACACCCCUCCUUAAAUUUUGCACACACAGCCUCACCCUAGUCCCUGGCCUGAGCCAUAUCCGCUUUCCACCGGUCUCCCAUUUUAUUUUGAGACAAGGGCUCACUGUCACCCAGGCUGGCGUUCAGUGGCAUGAUCAUGGCUCACUGCAGCCUCAACCCACUGGGCUCAAGUGAUCCUCCUGCCUCAGCUUCCCAAGUAGCUGGGACUACAGGCAUGUACCACCGCGACUAGCUUUGUUUUUUAAUUGUAGAGAUAGGGUCUCUCUGUGUUGCUCAGGCUGGUUUCCAACUCCUGGUCUCAAGCGAUCCUCCUGCCUCGGCCUCCCAAAGUGCUGGGAUUACAGGCUCGAGCCACCACUCCCGGUCCUGGAUACUUUUAAUUUUGCAGCUGGAGAAGGGGACACAAGGGGAAGGAGGAUUUGUUGAAAUUAAAGUGCACUGCGAGAAAGAAUGUGUCACUAGCAUCCUCCUUUUGCCUGCGCGGGGGCCUCUGGCAGCACCCCCUCCCUCGCCAAGCCCAGCCUCUGCACAGGCUCCAGGAGACGCUGCUCCGGGUCCUGCGGUGGACCCCGGGCUGCACCCCCGUCGGUCGCCGCACAGAUGCGCACUUGGAGCAGGUUCUGGUUCUGGGGCUGGGGAAGCAUAAAUCGGGGCUCCAAACCCUACUGUAAGGCUCUUUAGGGCGCCAGCUCCGCAGAGGCAGGAGCCGCCGCACACGUGCGCGCCCGAAACUGCUAAAGCUCACUCGCGAGCUUGACCGCCGCGCCCUGGCGGCCGCUCCCCACGAGCUGACCUGGCUGACCCAGUGCCGCCGCUGCGCCUUCAAAGGGCGGCCGCAUCCUGUGGCCCCGGGGCGGCCCUCCUCGUCACGGGGCGGACGUCCCCGCCGUCACCUCCUUUGCCCUCGGUCGGGAGGGCGCCCCCCCUCCACUGCACUACCGGGCCGAGCUGGGCAGACCUCCAUCCUUCC